rnacentral:rRNA from 1 species
GUUUCCUACGGGGCGCAGCAGUGAGGAAUAUUGGUCAAUGGGCGGGAGCCUGAACCAGCCAAGUCGCGUGAGGGACGACGGUCCUAUGGAUUGUAAACCUCUUUUGUCGGGGAACAAAGGCGUCCACGGGUGGGCGGAUGAGUGUACCCGAAGAAAAAGCAUCGGCUAACUCCGUGCCAGCAGCCGCGGUAAUACGGAGGAUGCGAGCGUUAUCCGGAUUUAUUGGGUUUAAAGGGUGCGCAGGCGGAGGCACAAGUCAGCGGUAAAAUCGCGGGGCUCAACCCCGCUCCGCCGUGGAAACUGUG